rnacentral:rRNA from 1 species
AAAGCUCCCUUCGGGGUGCAAGUAGAGUGGCGCACGGGUGAGUAACACGUAGGUAAUCUACCUUUGGAUUGGGAAUAACCACCGGAAACGGUGGCUAAUACCGAAUAAUGCAGCGGCACCUAAUGGUGACAGUUGUUAAAGCGGGGGAUCGAAAGACCUCGCGUCUGAAGAGGAGCCUGCGGCAGAUUAGCUAGUUGGUAAGGUAACGGCUUACCAAGGCGAUGAUCUGUAGCCGGCCUGAGAGGGCGGUCGGCCACACUGUCACUGACAUACGGGUCAGACUCCUACGGGAGGCAGCAGUCGGGAAUUUUGGGCAAUGGGCGAAAGCCUGACCCAGCAACGCCGCGUGAAGGAUGAAAUCCUUCGGGAUGUAAACUUCGCAAGAACGGGAAGAAUAAGUAAGGGUUAAUAUCUCUUACGAUGACGGUACUGUUUGUAAGCUCCGGCUAACUCCGUGCCAGCAGCCGCGGUAAUACGGGGGGAGCAAGCGUUGUUCGGAUUUACUGGGCGUAAAGGGCGCGUAGGCGGCCACCGCAAGUCGACUGUGAAAUCUCCGGGCUUAACCCGGAAAGGUCAGCCGAUACUGCGGGGCUAGAGUGCAGAAGGGGCAACUGGAAUUCUCGGUGUAGCGGUGAAAUGCGUAGAUAUCGAGAGGAACACCUGCGGCGAAGGCGGGUUGCUGGGCUGACACUGACGCUGAGGCGCGAAAGCUAGGGGAGCGAACGGGAUUAGAUACCCCGGUAGUCCUAGCCUUAAACGAUGAAUGCUUGGUGUCUGGGGUUUUAUAGUCCCCGGGUGCCGUCGCUAACGCUUUAAGCAUUCCGCCUGGGGAGUACGGUCGCAAGACUGAAACUC